UACGUAGGGUGCAAGCGUUAAUCGGAAUUACUGGGCGUAAAGCGUGCGCAGGCGGUUUUGUAAGUCUGAUGCGAAAUCCCCGGGCUCAACCUGGGAAUUGCAUUGGAGACUGCAAGGCUAGAAUCUGGCAGAGGGGGGUAGAAUUCCACGUGUAGCAGUGAAAUGCGUAGAUAUGUGGAGGAACACCGAUGGCGAAGGCAGCCCCCUGGGUCAAGAUUGACGCUCAUGCACGAAAGCGUGGGGAGCAAACAGG
rnacentral:rRNA from 1 species